ensembl:lncRNA
GUGAAAAAAUGAAUGCAAAUUUUAGCAAAACAUGUCAAGUUGAAAAAUGCUACGGAAACUUUUUUAAUAUACAUGAACAUAAAUGCUUCACUUUUAGUAUCGAAAGGUCAGAAAGAACCUUUCAUUAUCAAUGCGCAAGGACUAACCAAAUCAUUUUUGCUAAUUUAAGUCUCUCUUUUAAAGAGAAUCUAGUUCGAGAUCAAAACUUGCCUUACUAUGGGGUGUUUGUCUUCAAUACUCUCAUUUUGCUCUUGAGUGGAAUAAUCAACAUAUUGCUAUGUAAAAGACUGAGAAGACCCAGUGAAUUGCAUGCAGAAGUUUCUGACCCGUCUCUACCCGACACACCAGAGCCUGAUUUCAGUUCUUCUCUGAAUCAGGAUAGUCUGAACCCAAACUACACAACCCUACAAUUCCCUGAAAACAAUGCCAGAAGAGAGAGUUCAGAGACUGAGCCAAGAAUGACGAGAAAGGAUACAAUCUACUCCAGCCUUAAAUGUCAAAUGUCAAUGUCGGACAUCACUGAAGAAAGCUAAUCUAUUUCUUGUCCUCCGCAUAUUGCUUUGAACUGCAGCACAGUUGUUGAUGACUUUUUUUUUUCAAUAAUGAUAAAACCUUAUGCUUUACUAUGGAGGUUUUUGGCUCCUUAAUUGAGGUGAAGGCAAUCAGUAAUUGGAGCUGCUUAACCUGAUAUGUCUUUACCCCUGCAAUAUGUACUUUCCUGCUUUCAGUAUAUUUUUCAACUUUAUUAUUAAAAUUGCACUUCUACUUUAAAGUUUCCAUAGUAGCUGUUUCAGCUUAUAGUCCAUGAUCAAUAUUCAACUGAUAUUAUUAAAACUGGACCUGAACAAUAUUAAAACUGAUAUGCACUCAAACUAAGCACAACUUGGAAUCAUUUAAAAAUUACUAUGUCAAAGCUGAAGGGUUCAGAACAUAAUAAUAAUAAUAACAUCCAGUACUUCUGAACUUUACUUGUUUGCCUUCUUUUAUGUCUUGUAAUGGGGUCAGAGGCAAAUAUGCAUAUAUAUUUAAUGAGCUGUUGAGACCCUUGUAUCUGCCCACAAGAACCAGAAACUGAGAAAGAAACAUAAUGUGGUUUCAAAGACAGGAAGGAACACUAAGCGGCCUAUUUUUCAAAGUUUCCUAAAGGUUAAUUGUAGUAGCAUAUCAAUAAAGAACAAAAACAGGCCA